GAAGUCAAACAGGCUGAGUACUGGCCCAGCCCUAUCUCUUACUAAAUGUGUGACAUUUUCUUAUCUUUACGUAGAAUAAUAACAUCCCUCCAGAGGUUCAUCCUCAGGGCUUAAGAGGUUCCAAAGAGUCAAAAUAGGAGAAAGCACUGUGAGAAGUCUACAGUACCAAGCACAGUAGCCAAGGCCUCUCUUCACUAGUAUGCUGUUUGGUCAAGAGCAUGGGCCCAGGAGUGAAACUCACCUGAGUUAGAAUCCUGCUUCUGCCUUACAGAGCUGUGUGACCCUGGGCAAGUUUCCCUCCCUAAGCUUCAUGUUCUUCAUCUACAAAAUGAAGAGUACUAAUCCUCAAAGAGUUGUGAGAAUUUAAUGAGAUUAUAAACAUCAAACCCUAACAGUGUCUGAAAUAGAGGCUUCUCAUUGCAUGCUGGCCCAUAUCAUUAGUGAACCGCUACUGCCAUAUGAACCACCCCAUUGCUAAAAGGUGGAAGGAAGAUAUUCAUCCAGUGUGCUCGGCAACCCCAUCAGAUAUAAAAGUCACAGAGAACCCCCAAAGUAUAUCAAAGUAUAUGAGCUCUAAGGACCCACAAAACCUACCUCUGGUCACAGCUUCUCUGUGAAGAUGACAUUUCAACUACAACCCAAGGAAUGUGAAGCAAACAUCCAUGAGAGAUGAGAAUCUGAGCCCAUGGAAAUGCCUGGAGAUGAGAAUGAGCUUGGAGGGUUCACCCAUAAGACCACAAGUCCCAUUUAUUUCUGACAGUGCUUGCUUGUUUAAUUAUAGAAAUAAUCCAUAUUCAUUGCAGUAAAUUUGAAAAGCUCAGAGAAGCACAAAGAAGGUAAAAAAGAACCAUCAUUUGUGUCCCAAUGUUUUUACUAGAAAAAUAUGAUUGCUCCAGUUAUACCACAAAGGCUGUAGACCAAGCAGGGUAGCUUGGGUAGCUCUAGAAUGAGGUAGCUCUAGAAUGAUCUGGACACUGGCAGAGUAGCUCUAGAAUGAUCUGGACACUGGCAGAUUUUUAGAGCAUUAUACAAAUUUCAAGAAUUGGUUUGCUCUUAUCAUCAUCAUCACCAUCACUGUCAUUAUUGAUGCCCAAUCAAGAGAAAGCAUUAAAAAUGCCCGCUUGCAAAUCUUUUGCCAAGGUCAUCUGGCUAUGAAGAUAUGCACAGCACCUCCGUGGCAGUAAAGGUUUAGGUGAAG
rnacentral:lncRNA from 1 species